GACGAAGGGGGCUAGCGUUGUUCGGAAUUACUGGGCGUAAAGCGCGUGUAGGCGGUUGUUCAAGUCAGGUGUGAAAGCCUUGAGCUUAACUCAAGAAAUGCACUUGAUACUGGGCGACUAGAGGACCGGAGAGGAUAGUGGAAUUCCCAGUGUAGUGGUGAAAUACGUAGAGAUUGGGAAGAACACCAGUGGCGAAGGCGGCUAUCUGGACGGUUACUGACGCUAAGACGCGAAAGCGUGGGGAGCAAACAGG
rnacentral:rRNA from 1 species